rnacentral:rRNA from 1 species
UAGGGAAUAUUGGUAAUGGGCGAAAGCCUGAACCAGCAACGCCGCGUGUGCGAAGAAGGCCUUCGGGUUGUAAAGCACUUUUUAAGGGGAUGAGGAAGGACAGUACCCUUAGAAUAAGCCUCGGUUAACUACGUGCCAGCAGCCGCGGUAACACGUAGGAGGCAAGCGUUAUUCGGAUUUACUGGGCGUAAAGCGCGUGCAGGCGGUUUGGUAAGUUGGAUGUGAAAGCUCCCGGCCUAACUGGGAGAGGUCGUUCAAUACUACCAGACUAGAGGAUGGGAGAGGGAGGUGGAAUUCCUGCUGUAGUGGGGAAAUGCGUAGAUAUCCGGAGGAACACCAGUGGCGAAAGCGGCCUCCUGGCCCAUUACUGACGCUCAGACGCGAAAGCUAGGGUAGCAAACGG